CCUACGGGAGGCAGCAGUAGGGAAUAUUGGUCAAUGGGCGAGAGCCUGAACCAGCCAUGCCGCGUGCAGGAAGAAGGCCCUCUGGGUUGUAAACUGCUUUUGACAGGGGCCAAAAUACUCAUGCGUGAGGAAUUGAGAGUACCUGUAGAAUAAGCACCGGCUAACUCCGUGCCAGCAGCCGCGGUAAUACGGAGGGUGCAAGCGUUGUCCGGAUUUAUUGGGUUUAAAGGGUGCGUAGGUGGCCUUAUAAGUCAGUGGUGAAAGCCUGCAGCUUAACUGUAGGACUGCCAUUGAUACUGUAGGGCUUGAGUACUGAUGAGGUAGGCGGAAUUGAUAGUGUAGCGGUGAAAUGCAUAGAUAUUAUCAAGAACACCGAUUGCGAAGGCAGCUUACUAAGGAGUUACUGACACUGAGGCACGAAAGCGUGGGGAUCAAACAGGAUUAGAUACCCUGGUAGUCCACGCCAUAAACGAUGAUUACUCGAUGUAUGCGAUAGAUAGUAUGCGUCCAAGCGAAAGCGUUAAGUAAUCCACCUGGGGAGUAGACCGCAAGGUUGAAACCUUAAAUGAAUUGACGGNNGAGAGNGCGAGGCGACACGAGGGGAGAGG
rnacentral:rRNA from 1 species